rnacentral:rRNA from 1 species
UACGGGGGGGGGUAAGCGUUGUUCGGAAUUACUGGGCGUAAAGGGCUCGUAGGCGGCCAACUAAGUCAGACGUGAAAUCCCUCAGCUUAACUGGGGAACUGCGUCUGAUACUGGAUGGCUUGGAUUCGGGAGAGGAAUGCGGAAUUCCAGGUGUAGCGGUGAAAUGCGUAGAUAUGUCACAGAACACCAAUUGCGAAGGCAGCUUACUAAAGUCUUAUUGACGCUGAGGCACGAAAGCGUGGGGAUCAAACAGG